GGCUGAGUAGCCAAGUGGUUGAAGGCGUCGGUCUGCAAAACCGACAUCGUGAGUACCCUUCGGGAAGCCGCUUCGCGUCUACGAUUCUCACCUCAGCCU
rnacentral:tRNA from 1 species